rnacentral:rRNA from 1 species
CCUACGGGGGGCAGCAGUGGGGAAUAUUGCACAAUGGGCGCAAGCCUGAUGCAGCGACGCCGCGUGGGGGAUGAAGGCCUUCGGGUUGUAAACUCCUUUCGCUAUCGACGAAGCCACUUGUGGUGACGGUAGGUAGAUAAGAAGCACCGGCUAACUACGUGCCAGCAGCCGCGGUAAUACGUAGGGUGCAAGCGUUGUCCGGAAUUACUGGGCGUAAAGAGCUCGUAGGUGGUUUGUCGCGUCGUCUGUGAAAUCCCGGGGCUUAACUUCGGGCGUGCAGGCGAUACGGGCAUAACUUGAG